rnacentral:rRNA from 1 species
GAUGAACGCUGGCGGCGUGCCUAAUACAUGCAAGUCGAGCGAACGGACGAGAAGCUUGCUUCUCUGAUGUUAGCGGCGGACGGGUGAGUAACACGUGGAUAACCUACCUAUAAGACUGGGAUAACUUCGGGAAACCGGAGCUAAUACCGGAUAAUAUUUUGAACCGCAUGGUUCAAAAGUGAAAGACGGUCUUGCUGUCACUUAUAGAUGGAUCCGCGCUGCAUUAGCUAGUUGGUAAGGUAACGGCUUACCAAGGCAACGAUGCAUAGCCGACCUGAGAGGGUGAUCGGCCACACUGGAACUGAGACACGGUCCCGACUCCUACGGGGGGCAGCAGUAGGGAAUCUUCCGCAAUGGGCGAAAGCCUGACGGAGCAACGCCGCGUGAGUGAUGAAGGUCUUCGGAUCGUAAAACUCUGUUAUUAGGGAAGAACAUAUGUGUAAGUAACUGUGCACAUCUUGACGGUACCUAAUCAGAAAGCCACGGCUAACUACGUG